rnacentral:rRNA from 1 species
GUUGGUGAGGUAACGGCUCACCAAGCCUAAGACGGGUAGCUGGCCUUAGCGGGUGGUCAGCCACACGGGAACUGAGACACGGUCCCGACUCCUACGGGAGGCAGCAGUGGGGAAUAUUGCACAAUGGGCGCAAGCCUGAUGCAGCGACGCCGCGUGAGUGAUGAAGGCCUUCGGGUCGUAAAGCUCUGUUGUAUGGGAAGAAAAAACCAUGGCUAAUAUCCAUGGUCUUGACGGUACCAUAUCAGAAAGGACCGGCUAACUUCGUGCCAGCAGCCGCGGUAAGACGAGGGGUCCUAGCGUUGUUCGGAAUCACUGGGCGUAAAGCGUAUGUAGGCGGGCUUUUAAGUCGGGUGUGAAAUCCCAUGGCUCAACCAUGGAAUUGCAUUUCGAAACUGGAAGUCUUGAGUGUGGGAGAGAUUGGUAGAAUACCCUAGUGUAGUGGUGAAAUACGUAGAUAU